rnacentral:lncRNA from 1 species
UUAGGAUUCAAAUCUUGGCUAGAUUUUUUUUUUAAAAAAAGCACUGAACAGACUUUCCUUUUGACAAGCUGUAUUGUAAAAAGAAAAGAAACCAAACAACACAUUCAGGUAAAUACAAAUAAUGAAAUUGCUGUCUUGUGUUCUGGGAGUGUUGCUAGAAGCAGCUGUUAAUACUUGAUUUAAGAAGCAUGAGCCAUUUUGUGUACUUCUAUAGGCAGGCACAAGUACAGACGUGUCUUUAUAACUAGUGAAAUUCCCUGCAGAGAUACAGACUAAAGGUCUAUAGGCCACACAGGGUGCGGCCUCCGCAGAGGCCUAACGGAGAAAGAGGUUCGUGCCUGUUUGAAGCAGCUGGCUUCCCUUGGGAAGGUGGGACACUGCUUUUCAAGGGGAGGAGAUUUAGCUGUCUGGACAACCACAGACCAGCAUUAGGUUGAGACAUGAAUACAAGCCUAACAAACUGUGUUCACAGAUGCAGAAAAAGGAGACUAGGAAAACCCCUGGCAUCAGUGUGUGCCUUCCACGAAUUACUUAGAAACUGCAUCUUCCUGUGCUUCAUGAGUUCUUUCUUUCCUAUAAACACUUUGAACACAACUUUGAAACAGAAUAUUCCAAGCUCCAGAGAGCAGUCCAAGGUUGGCUCAUUCAGAACUGCUCGGAAAGAUCAGCUAAGGCAGAAGUAUCAGUUUUAUAGCACAUAAAUGUAAAGUUUAAGCUUACGGUAAAAUGUACGUUUAAGAAACCACCAGGAACUGCUUUCAUACCAGAACAGAGAAUCAAGACUGAUGAUGGAUUAGUAGAACAUCUACUGCCAGAGGCAACAAGCAACAGCCUGAAGACAAAGAAUCUGAAAUGAUUUGCUUUUGUAUUUUACCUUAUUUCCAUUUUUCCCCAUUAGCCUUAAGGUGCUAAAUAAGAUGUGUUGUUUAACCUUUCUGUAAUUACAUGAAGGCAACAUCCUCAUUUUCCUAAAACAAAACAAAACACAGUGCAAUGGUAUAAUUUCUUUUAGUAAAAAUUAGCAGCUAACAGAGAUGCAAGAAAGUAAAUGCAAGACCAUAUAUGUUAGCAAAGAAAUUCAUCAGAGAUAUGGGUUUCAGUUCAGGCCACCAAAUUCAUCUUUGUUCAGACCCAAUGUACCCAAAUUCUUAAGACAUCUUACUUUCUGACAUUCGCAAAAUAAAUAUUUAGAGUAUAGCUGUUGUUUUUUUGUU